GUAGGGAAUAUUGGACAAUGGGGGGAACCCUGAUCCAGCCAUGCCGCGUGGAGGAAGACUGCCCUCUGGGUUGUAAACUCCUUUUAUAUGGGAAGAACCGUCCUCAUUAAUGAGUGACCUGACGGUACCAUAGGAAUAAGCACCGGCUAACUCCGUGCCAGCAGCCGCGGUAAUACGGAGGGUGCAAGCGUUAUCCGGAUUCACUGGGUUUAACGGGUGCGUAGGCGGAUAAAUAAGUCAGUGGUGAAAUCAACGGGCUCAACCUAUUAACUGCCAUUGAUACUGUGUAUCUUGAAUAUGAGAGAGGUAGGCGGAAUGUUGCAUGUAGCGGUGAAAUGCUUAGAUAUGCUACGGAACACCGAUUGCGAAGGCAGCUUACUAUUUCGUAAUUGACGCUGAGGCACGAAAGCGUGGGUAGCGAACAGGAUUAGAAACCCUGGUAGUCC
rnacentral:rRNA from 1 species